rnacentral:rRNA from 1 species
ACUCAAAGGAAUUGACGGGGACCCGCACAAGCAGCGGAGCAUGUGGUUUAAUUCGAAGCAACGCGAAGAACCUUACCAGGGCUUGACAUGCCCCUGACCGGUGUAGAGAUACACCUUUAUCCUUUUAGGAUACAGGGGACACAGGUGGUGCAUGGUUGUCGUCAGCUCGUGUCGUGAGAUGUUGGGUUAAGUCCCGCAACGAGCGCAACCCUUGCCUUUAGUUGCUAACAUUAAGUUGAGAACUCUAAAGGGACUGCCGAUGACAAAUCGGAGGAAGGUGGGGAUGACGUCAAAUCAUCAUGCCCUUUAUGUCCUGGGCUACACACGUGCUACAAUGGUCGGUACAACGAGCAGCUACCUAGUGAUAGGAUGCAAAUCUCUAAAAGCCGAUCCCAGUUCGGAUUGUAGGCUGCAACUCGCCUACAUGAAGUCGGAGUUGCUAGUAAUCGCGAAUCAGAAUGUCGCGGUGAAUGCGUUCCCGGGUCUUGUACACACCGCCCGU